CCUACGGGUGGCAGCAGUGGGGAAUAUUGGACAAUGGGGGCAACCCUGAUCCAGCCAUGCCGCGUGUGUGAAGAAGGCCCUCGGGUUGUAAAGCACUUUCAGUGAGGAAGAACGCCUGGUGGUUAAUACCCAUCAGGAAAGACAUCACUCACAGAAGAAGCACCGGCUAACUCCAUGCCAGCAGCCGCGGUAAUACGGAGGGUGCGAGCGUUAAUCGGAAUUACUGGGCGUAAAGCGCGCGUAGGUGGCUUGAUAAGCCGGUUGUGAAAGCCCCGGGCUCAACCUGGGAACGGCAUCCGGAACUGUCAAGCUAGAGUGCAGGAGAGGAAGGUAGAAUUCCCGGUGUAGCGGUGAAAUGCGUAGAGAUCGGGAGGAAUACCAGUGGCGAAGGCGGCCUUCUGGACUGACACUGACACUGAGGUGCGAAAGCGUGGGUAGCAAACAGGAUUAGAUACCCUUGUAGUC
rnacentral:rRNA from 1 species